rnacentral:lncRNA from 1 species
CCUGACACACUCCGGGCACGCGCCUCAUUUGCAAUCAGGGCGCGAGGAGCUGAAGCACCUGCCUGACAGCGGCGCCUUGACUCGCUUCCUCUACAGGUACUACAGCAGGAAUGGAAUUUGAUGUCAGGCAGCAGCUUUAAGCACUAGACCACCUGCUGACGCCAGCGUCCCCCAACUUUAUCCCAGGGGGUCGGUAGGUCCCACAGUCAGGCUGCGGCUCCGCGCUCCGUCUGACAGGAUCUCUGGCCUCGCGCCAUCGCCGCCGUCCGCCAGGAAUCCGCCGUGCCACAGGAAUGCAGAUGCGAGUGCCCCCUCACCUCGGCUGCCUUUGAAACAUCCACUCAGCCUCCGUGCUCACGUCCCUGGCCCCG